GGGUGUAGCUCAGUGGUAAAGCACGUGCCUGGCAUGCACGAAUUCCUGGGUUUGAUCCCCAGUACAUCCA
rnacentral:tRNA from 1 species